rnacentral:rRNA from 1 species
GACGAACGCUGGCGGCGUGCUUAACACAUGCAAGUCGAACGGAAAGGCCCAGCUUGCUGGGUGCUCGAGUGGCGAACGGGUGAGUAACACGUGGGUGAUCUGCCCUGCACUUUGGGAUAAGCCUGGGAAACUGGGUCUAAUACCGGAUAGGACCAUGGCGUGCAUGUGCUGUGGUGGAAAGUCUGUGGACGGUGUGGGAUGGGCCCGCGGCCUAUCAGCUUGUUGGUGGGGUGAUGGCCUACCAAGGCUGCGACGGGUAGCCGGCCUGAGAGGGUGU